GGAGAGACUCCAACCAGAGGGACUCCAACAGGAGAGACUCCAACCAGAGGGUCUCCAACCAGAGGGUCUCCACCAGGAGGGUCUCCUCCAGGAGGGCGAGAUGGUGAGGACACCGGGGGUCUUGGAGGCUGAGGAGGAGGCGUUAGAAGAGUUUGCGUCCACCUCAGGGCUGUCAGCCCUGAACCAAGGCCACACCUCCCCUACACACCUGGAAACCAACACCGAGCCUGGGGAGAAGGCCUUAGGGACUGACAGCCAGGCUACCUCCGAGACCAGACAGGACAUCCAAGAAGAGCCUGAAACAAAUGGUCAUUGUCCUCUACCUAAGCUGCCCUUUGUUGGGCAGACACCUGUACAAAGACAGCGGUGACCUGGAGAUGCCAGCUGACCACGGCAACCAGCACGUUGUCGUCCGUCAACAUCCCAUUGACGCCGUGAUGUCGAUCCUCAACCAGGAUCAACCGGCAGCCACCGCCCUGCCAGGUGUAGUAGAGAUCGAGGAGAAACCUUUUGUCUUUAUGGGCUGUACAGAACCUGUGGAUCCCCCGAACAACUCGGAAAUCUCGGACAUGCAUGACGAAGAAGGGGAGGAACCCAUACAGUAGCCCAAAGGAAAGAGCCUCGGGUGGAGAUUCCUCAAUUGGCUCAGUGUGGUGAAGGAGAAGGAGCCAAACAAUAAGAGGAACGCCGGGACCUACCUGAAGGAGGACACGGAGGAACACCUCAUCUCCAGCAAAGCUAAUAAACGUCAGGCAGCUUUGCUCAGUACAAAGCUCUCGAUGGCUGAAGGAGUUCAGAUGAGGAUGAAGAUCCACCGGGCUGAGCGCCGGGAGCAGAAGGAGGCUCAGAGGAUGAAGGAGGAGCAGCGCUACGAGCAGUGGGCUGCUGAAGUGGGCCUCAGCGAUGCAGGAGAGGGGCCAGCAGACGGGCCUAAGAAAAGGAUGACCAGAUUGCAGAAGUUGUCUUUAGGAUUGGUCUCCCUGUGCCAAUAAGCCGAUCCCCUCCAUCCGGCCACCCCCGGUGCGGGUCACCUGUACAUAUAUACAUAGAAGCAUAAUAAAAUUCAAAGAAAUACAAAAGAAUACAAGACAAUACAAGACCGGACAGCUGGAAGAACCAACAUUAUCUUUUCUUAUGUCAUACUGUGUAUUAUACUUUUGUAUUCAACUGUAAUAAUUG